AUUGAACGCUGGCGGCAGGCCUAACGCAUGCAAGUCGAGCGGAUGAAGAGAGCUUGCUCUCUGAUUCAGCGGCGGACGGGUGAGUAAUGCCUAGGAAUCUGCCUGGUAGUGGGGGACAACGUUUCGAAAGGAGCGCUAAUACCGCAUACGUCCUACGGGAGAAAGCAGGGGACCUUCGGGCCUUGCGCUAUCAGAUGAGCCUAGGUCGGAUUAGCUAGUAGGUGGGGUAAUGGCUCACCUAGGCGACGAUCCGUAACUGGUCUGAGAGGAUGAUCAGUCAGACUGGAACUGAGACACGGUCCAGACUCCUACGGGAGGCAGCAGUGGGGAAUAUUGGACAAUGGGCGAAAGCCUGAUCCAGCCAUGCCGCGUGUGUGAAGAAGGUCUUCGGAUUGUAAAGCACUUUAAGUUGGGAGGAAGGGCAGUAAGUUAAUACCUUGCUGUUUUGACGUUACCAACAGAAUAAGCACCGGCUAACUUCGUGCCAGCCGCCGCCGUAA
rnacentral:rRNA from 1 species